GUUUUUCUUCUUUUUCAGGGAGGCUUUGGUUUUCUUGGGAGCCACAUUUUGUUGUUUCCGUUUCCAAAAGGGCGAGUUCUUCUGCAACAAUAUUUACAAGGAAAGGUGAGUUUUAAAGCACUAAAGAAAUGCAUAAGGAAUGCAGGAGAUGUUAAAGGUUAUUUACCUCGAGAGUCGGGUCCUGAGUAUAGAACAACUUCAG
rnacentral:lncRNA from 1 species